rnacentral:lncRNA from 1 species
AGAAGCAUUUGGGCGUCCCAAUGAUUUCUACUUCUAAAGAGUGCUAGUGAAUGAGGGAUUUUGAUUGAGGGCUUACUUUGCUGCCUUAGUGUUCUCUCCUAACCAGAAGCCUUUCUGUUUUGGAAUCAUGGAGCACAUCUUUUGUGGGCUGCGAAAAGCUCUAGGUGGAAGGGAAGAGCAUCAGGUGGUGAAGCUGAACCAGGAGAGUCUAAAAACCACGUGGCCUCUCAGGCACCCUUGAGUCUAGAGGGAGUUCCCUGAUCUUACAUUUGAGAGUGAUUCUAGGGGGUUCUGCAAUAGCCAAGCAACAAAUGGAAGCUGUCAGAAAGUAUUUGUAGGAACAGUUAUGGAAGAAAGCUGCGAGGUUGUUGAAACGCUACACAGACUACAUUUUUUUAGCCUAUGCAUGAGUAGAAUACUUUCCUAAAAAUGUAAUUGACUGUGGACGUGUGGCAUACAGCAAGCCCUCUGCCUAGGCUUUUGAAAUCCUCUUAUUUUCACUGAUGCAAAACCGGCAUGGUGUCUUUCAAGGAUCUUUUCAACUCACCCUGUGUCAUCACACGCACAUUACUGAGCAUUUGAUGCUGUCUUACCUCCUGUUCUCUAGACCCGUCCCUCUUCCUCUUUCUUCCUGUCUUUUCUGUUCUAUCUGUGCUCUGGAUCACUCUGUGGCACCAAGGACACUGCAGGGGCUUUAGCUCCUGGUCCUUAACUGGCGGCGCUCAAAUCUACUGACUUUACUGACCUCUGCCCAAGCCAUGAACUGAGACCGACGAAUAGAUCACCCAAACUCCCAGCAACCAGCACAUGGCAGUUGUGCAGGGCCUUUUCCAUGCGGCAUAAUUUCGUGGAAUUUCUCUCUCUCCUCAUCUGGCUCUGAUUAUUUGCUGAUUUGUAAUUUUAGUUAUUCGUGUGCAAGUCUUAUCUCCUUUGCCAGACUGUAUGCUCCUGAGCAACAUGCACUAUGCUUGAUGCAUUUUGUGCGUCUUCUCUCCUUCCUGGGCUUGGCAUGGUGCUCAGCACAACGUGGAAAUUCAGUAGAUACAUUGUGAGUGAAUUCAUGACAUUGAAGCUAGGAACACAGAAUAUCCUAAAGAUAAUCCAGGUAUCAAUGCCAGAGAUUGGUCACAUCCUGGCUAAAUCUGUAGCUAUUUAAACUAAGUUUCC